rnacentral:rRNA from 1 species
GAUCAUGGCUCAGGAUGAACGCUAGCGGCAGGCUUAACACAUGCAAGUCGAGGGGCAGCGCGGAGUAGCAAUACUCUGGCGGCGACCGGCGGAAGGGUGCGUAACACGUGAGCGACUUGCCCGUCACAGGGAGAUAACCGCUGGAAACGGCGACUAAUAUCCCAUAUGGUGGCGAUCUGCAUGGAUUGUCAUUGAAAGAUUCAUCGGUGGCGGAUAGGCUCGG